ensembl:misc_RNA Metazoa_SRP Metazoan signal recognition particle RNA
GCUUGAUGUGGUGGUGCACACCAGUAAUCCCAGCUGCUUUGGAGGCUGAGACAGGAGGAUCACUUGAGCCCAGGAGUUCAAGGUUACAGUGAGCUAUGAUCACACCACUGCACUCCAGCCUGGGUGACAGAGUGAGACCCUGUCUCUG